CAUCCCUAAACAACAAGCCCACUGACAGCUGUUUUGGUUUCUUACUGAACUCUGCCCAUUGGCCUCUAGUGGGAGAUGAGCUGUGUAGCAAAGGCCCCAAGUGCUGCUCAAACACCUGAAUGUGUGCUCUGACGAGCUGGCAGUGACUGCAGCUGCCACAGUGGAGGUGGCAGGCUGAGUUUGGGAUCUCCCAAGCUAGACAAACAUGAACAAAAGAUAGUAGUCGGUAGCUGUGGCCCAUUCUUCAGGGGAGCAUGUAGAGCAUGGUACAGUAAAAUUAGCAUCCCCUCUAGUCUUGGUUGUUUUUUUCUCCUCUGUGCUAAACAUGCCCCUCUGUGAGAGGAAUGAUCUGUUGGGGUGAACAUCUCGUAAGAUGUUGUCAUCCAACAGAACCUGUGAGGAGCUCAGGUGCUCUUCCCCUUGUUUUGUCCCUCAGAGGACAGGGCUGGCAAUGCUCCCUCUGGAUAUUGAAGGCCAAGCUUGAGUGAAAUUGUGGACACAUUCCUGAAGCAUAGGGCACAUCGAAAUCAAGCACAGCCUAUUCAACAGUGGCAGCCCAUUUCAUUCCUCUGCAAUCUCUCACCUUCAUUCUAAUGUUCUCUUUUUUUCAGUUUAUGGCGAAGUCACAUAUAGCUCAGAAGACUCUUCUGAGAUUGAUGUUGUCACUGUCAGUGACGAUGAGUCUGCUCUGCAAAAGCGCCCUGGAGAGGCGCUUCAUUCAGGUCCAGCAGAGAAACAGAGCAGGCUGCUGACCUCCAGAGCAGGUGAAAGUCUGCAGACAGCGCCAAGAGACCUCGAGGAAAGAGGUUCACCUGCUUUGGAGCCUGGUAAGAACAGAAACUGCUGCUGGACGGUUGGAGAUCAUUGGAACAUGUGCUUUUGUCAGUUCCUAGGCCCUUUCCUGGGGAGAAAGGGAACCUUGGGGUUGAGGAAGGUGGGCUUGAUGCCUGCUAUGGCAUCCCUAAACAACAAGCCCACUGACAGCUGUUUUGGUUUCUUACUGAACUCUGCCCAUUGGCCUCUAGUGGGAGAUGAGCUGUGUAGCAAAGGCCCCAGGUGCUGCUCAAACACCUGAAUGUGUGCUCUGACGAGCUGGCAGUGACUGCAGCUGCCACAGUGGAGGUGGCAGGCUGAGUUUGGGAUCUCCCAAGCUAGACAAACAUGAACAAAAGAUAGUAGUCGGUAGCUGUGGCCCAUUCUUCAGGGGAACAUGUACAGCAUGGUAUAGUAAAAUUAGCAUCCCCUCUAGUCUUGGUUGUUUUUUUCUCCUCUGUGCUAAACAUGCCCCUCUGUGAGAGGAAUGAUCUGUUGGGGUGAACAUCUCGUAAGAUGUUGUCAUCCAACAGAACCUGUGAGGAGCUCAGGUGCUCAUCCCCUUGUUUUGCCCCUCCGAGGACAGGGCUGGCAGUGCUCCCUCUGGAUAUUGAAGGCCAAGCUUGAGUGAAAUUGUGGACACAUUCCUGAAGCGUAGG
rnacentral:lncRNA from 1 species